UUAAUAUCCUUUCUGGCAGCUUAUUAUCACCCCGGGCGCCUUCCAUAAAAUCCAACCUCACCAAGGCCGGGGGCGCGGCGCUGCUGGGAGCCGGACUGGAGCAGCUGCUGGGCGCGGGCGGCAGGGCCAGGCCGCGGGGUCCAAAGGUGCUUCUGGGACAGGGGCCCUGGGCCUGCAACUGGUGGGAAAGCCGGAGGGCCCAGAGGAAAGGGUCCAGCCCGCAGCAGUCUUCCUGGUGACUCCACAUCUGGGGUUCAUUCCCCGCCGGCCCAGCGUCAGCGGCCCCACCUCGGCUCUGGGCGACCCGGACUGCCCGCCGGGGUCCGGGAAUUGGGUGCCUUAGGCCCCAGGGGUCUUCUGUCCCUCAACCCGAAGGACAGAGUCUGCUGGCCCUGGGGGUCGGCCUCUGUGCGGCCCGGGGAAGGGACCCACCGAGAGAAGGUGUCGCUGUGCCCCUGCCCCCCACCCCGUCCGCCGGCAGAGCGAGCCCGGCUUUGGCGCGGGGACCUGGCGGCUGCGGAGGCCCGACCCGCCCGCGGCCCCACCGUCUCCAGCCAGCUGCUUAAUCGCGCCGGAAUUUAUCUUGCUAAUAAAUUUAAUGAUCAAUU